CGGCGCACGCUGGCCUUGGUCAGCGGCACGCCCAGCACGGAGGAAAUCUCGGCAGCCAAUUCGGGGUUCGAAUUGCCGGCUACCAGUUUGAUGGAGCCAUUCUUCGCUGAAAUUGCAGCCUCUCCUCGCGAUGUGGGGGAAACGCUUUUCAACAUAUCGCUGCCUAUGAAACGGAACCGGAGCCUGACGUCUUCGCAGGCGCGCGUGAUAACAAGGAGAUGACGAGGCUGGCAAUACAAAGCCUCGGUUUUUCCUGCAAAAACCGGCUCAGAACUGCGUCCGCAUCCCUAAUGGGCGCUGAAGGCCAGCGUCUGCAUUCGUCCGGGCCCCGAUUCAGGCCGAUUCUCGUCGGUCUGCGCGAUGGCAGGACCGGAGGUUCGGGGCGCGGCCG
rnacentral:misc_RNA from 1 species